rnacentral:lncRNA from 1 species
CUCAAAUAUAAAAUUUUCUUUUUAAUUCUCAGCAAGGCAAAGUACUUCUACAGAAAGGUGUGCCCUUACAGAUGGAGCAAUGAUGGAGUCUCACUUUGUCAGUCAGACUGGAGUGCAGUAGCACGAUCUCAGCUCACGGCAACCUCUGCCUCUCGGGUUCAAGAGAUUCUCUCAAGUAGCUGGUAUUACAGAGGCCCUGGACAAUGUCAACAUCAGGAGCCUCAUAUGCGCUGGAGAGGCCAGUGGACCUGCUCCAGCACCUGGUGCUGCACCAGUGGGAGGUCCUGCUCCCUCCACCACUGCAGCCCAAGCUGAAGAGAGGGAAGUGGAAUCAAAGAAAGAAGAAUCCGAGGAGUCUGAUGAUGCAUGGGCUUUGGUCUUUUUUGACAAAAUCUCUUUUGUAACAUGUUCAAUAAAAAACCAAACUCUUAA